rnacentral:tRNA from 1 species
GGGGAUGUGGCUCAGUGGUAGAGCUUGUGCUUUGCUUGCACAAGGUCCUGGGUUUGAUCCUCAGCAACACAC